rnacentral:rRNA from 1 species
GGUCUGGUUGGACGGUCUGCUCUCUAGGGUUUGUACUGUCCUGACCGGGCCUUACCUUCUGGUGAGCUGUCGUGUUGUUUACUCAGUGCGGCAGGGAACCAGGACUUUUACUUUGAAAAAAUUAGAGUGUUUAAAGCAGGCAUUCGCUUGAAUACAUUAGCAUGGAAUAAUAGAAUAGGA